AGAGUUUGAUCCUGGCUCAGAGUGAACGCUGGCGGCGUGCCUAACACAUGCAAGUCGAACGAGAACGGAUAUAAGUUUACUUAUAUUGUCAGCUAAGUGGCGCACGGGUGAGUAAUAUAUAGUUAAUCUGCCCCAAAGAAGAGAAUAAUUGUUGGAAACGACUUGUAAUGCUCUAUAUGCCUUUAAUACAAAAGUAUGCAAGGGAAAUAUUUAUAGCUUUGGGAUGAGACUGUACAGUAUCAGAUAGUUGGUGAGGUAAUGGCUCACCAAGUCAAUGACACUUAACUGGUUUGAGAGGAUGAUCAGUCACACUGGAACUGAGACACGGUCCAGACUCCUACGGGAGGCAGCAGUGGGGAAUAUUGCACAAUGGAGGAAACUCUGAUGCAGCAACGCCGCGUGGAGGAUGACACAUUUCGGUGCGUAAACUCCUUUUAUAUAAGAAGAUAAUGACGGUAUUAUAUGAAUAAGCACCGGCUAACUCCGUGCCAGCAGCCGCGGUAAUACGGGGGGUGCAAGCGUUACUCGGAAUCACUGGGCGUAAAGAGCAUGUAGGCUGGUAAUUAAGUUGGAAGUGAAAUCCUAUGGCUUAACCAUAGAACUGCUUCCAAAACUGAUUUGCCUAGAAUAUGGGAGAGGUAGAUGGAAUUUCUGGUGUAGGGGUAAAAUCCGUAGAGAUCAGAAGGAAUACCGAUUGCGAAGGCGAUCUACUGGAACAUUAUUGACGCUGAGAUGCGAAAGCGUGGGGAGCAACAGGAUUAGAUA
rnacentral:rRNA from 1 species